rnacentral:rRNA from 1 species
ACGGAAGGCAGCAGUGGGGAAUAUUGCACAAUGGGCGAAAGCCUGAUGCAGCGACGCCGCGUGAGCGAAGAAGUAUUUCGGUAUGUAAAGCUCUAUCAGCAGGGAAGAUAAUGACGGUACCUGACUAAGAAGCACCGGCUAAAUACGUGCCAGCAGCCGCGGUAAUACGUAUGGUGCAAGCGUUAUCCGGAUUUACUGGGUGUAAAGGGAGCGUAGGCGGCCAAGCAAGUCUGAUGUGAAAACCCGGAGCUCAACUUCGGGAUUGCAUUGGAAACUGUUUGGCUAGAGUGUCGGAGGGGUAAGUGGAAUUCCUAGUGUAGCGGUGAAAUGCGUAGAUAUUAGGAGGAACACCAGUGGCGAAGGCGGCUUACUGGACGAUUACUGACGCUGAGGCUCGAAAGCGUGGGGAGCAAACAGGAUUAGAUACCCUGGUA